AUAAAAAGUCUAACCUGCCCUGUGAUAGUUUUAACGGCUGCAGUAUUCUGACUGUGCGAAGGUAGCAUAAUAAAUUGUCUUAUAAUUAAAGAAUGGAAUGAAUGGUUUGACAAGGAUGGAGCUGUCUCUUAUAUAUUUUAUUUAAAUUAAUUUGUAGGUUAAAAAGCUUAUAUAAGAUUAAAGGACGAGAAGACCCUAUUGAGCUUAUUUUAGUUGGGGCGACUAAGGAACAGUACAAGCUUCUUUUAUUUUAUAAAAAGAUGUUUUUUGAUCCAGUAUUAUUGAAUAAAGAACAAGCUACCAUAGGGAUAACAGCGUAAUCUUUUUAGAGAGUUCUUAUCGAAAAAGUGGAUUGCGACCUCGAUGUUGGAUUAGGAUAUAAUAAAGGUGUAGGGGCUUUUAUGAUUUAGUCUGUUCGACUAUUAAUU
rnacentral:rRNA from 1 species